rnacentral:tRNA from 1 species
GGCAAGAUGGCCGAGCGGUCUAAGGCGCCAGACUCAAGGACUUUCCUUACUUGAGAUCACUCAAGAGUCUUCUGGUCACGAAAGUGGCGUGGGUUCAAAUCCCACUCUUGUCA